CAAUAGCGUAUAUUUAAGUUGCUGCAGUUAAAAAGCUCGUAGUUGGAUUUCGGGUGGGAAUGGCCGGUCCGCCGUUUCGGUGUGCACCUGCUACGCCCACCUUGCUGCCGGGGACGUGCUCUUGAGUUCACGCUCGGGACACGGAGUCGGCGAGGUUACUUUGAGUAAAUUAGAGUGUUCAAAGCAGGCCUACGCUCUGAAUACAUUAGCAUGGAAUAACACGAUAGGACUCUGGCCUAUCUUGUUGGUCUGUAGGACCGGAGUAAUGAUUAAGAGGGACAGUCGGGGGCAUUCGUAUUUCAUUGUCAGAGGUGAAAUUCUUGGAUUUAUGAAAGACGAACUACUGCGAAAGCAUUUGCCAAGGAUGUUUUCAUUAA
rnacentral:rRNA from 1 species